rnacentral:lncRNA from 1 species
CCUGGAAGUUGGAUGGGCAUGAGUGAGUGAAAUGUCAAAGGGAGGAAAUAGAGGGAGAAAGAGAGAGAGGAUUCCCUCCCAAUAGUUGCGACUUUCCCAUUUGUCUCUUUACCUUCUGAGCGCCAGGAGAUGAGGGUGAGGGCACCUAAUCAGGUGGGAGCCCUACCCUGGCCCUGCUGCGCUAACUGCAGAGCUGACCGCUCACAGCUGAACAAUUCAUGUCAAAACCAAUCCUGGACCUGUGCUAUAAAAGUAGUUGUUGUCUUUUUUCUCCCCAGAAUUCUAUAAAUUUUGCUUUCUUGUUUGUUUUUAUUCUUUUCUUAAGUGCUACUAAUGUAGAGAAUGAAUUGAAUUGUGCAAUGUUGCUGUUCUGGGGAUUGGGGAGAUUAGCAUCCCAUUUGCCCACACCAUGGGGGACAGGGGAAGGGACCAGGCUGUUUUUGAGGUAAGGGAAGCCCAUUAAAGGUAGGGGUUUCUGCUCACUUCAUAGUGCAUGUCCACCUGCCUCUCCAGCUCUAAUAAAAGCUGCCAGAGUUUGAGGAAGGGAUACUCUCAGCAGAGAGGUGUGAAGAGGAGUGUAACAUUUUGCCCUUGAAAGCCACCUGGAGAGGUUCCCCC